rnacentral:rRNA from 1 species
GGUGAACGCUGGCGGCGUGCCUAAUACAUGCAAGUCGAGCGAACAGACGAGGAGCUUGCUCCUCUGACGUUAGCGGCGGACGGGUGAGUAACACGUGGAUAACCUACCUAUAAGACUGGGAUAACUUCGGGAAACCGGAGCUAAUACCGGAUAAUAUAUUGAACCGCAUGGUUCAAUAGUGAAAGACGGUUUUGCUGUCACUUAUAGAUGGAUCCGCGCCGCAUUAGCUAGUUGGUAAGGUAACGGCUUACCAAGGCAACGAUGCGUAGCCGACCUGAGAGGGUGAUCGGCCACACUGGAACUGAGACACGGUCCAGACUCCUACGGGAGGCAGCAGUAGGGAAUCUUCCGCAAUGGGCGAAAGCUUGACGGAGCAACGCCGCGUGAGUGAUGAAGGUCUUCGGAUCGUAAAACUCUGUUAUUAGGGAAGAACAAAUGUGUAAGUAACGAUGCACGUCUUGACGGUACCUAAGCAGAAAGCCACGGCUAACUACGU